CAAAGCGGUUGACAUCAGCAUCCCACAGCUGGUUAAAAAGUUCGGAGAGUUCGUGAUUUAAAACCAGUCUGCGGGAAACACAGAAGCAGGCCUUUUCAGAUCAAGCACUCGAGGCGCUGGGCGGAGUCACUGAGCAGCCUCUCUGGGACCCAUCUGUAGGAAGAGGUCAGGCUGGACAGACGGCUGCGGAGGCAGGGAAGGUCCAUCUCUAACGAAUGCCAGAAUCUCAGUGCCCAUUCCUGUGGCUUCCAUAGCUCUGUCCUCCCGAGGAAGGCAGUGACAAGUCACUUCCUAUCUCGGGGCCUCUGCUUCUGCUUUGCUAAAAUAAGACUUACACUAGCUUCUUUCUGAUGUCCCUGAAGCCUGAAUUUUUAUUUUAUAGCAAAUAAUUCUUACAUCUAUUCAUAAUAAAUUAAUACUAUCUC